GACGAACGCUGGCGGCGUGCUUAACACAUGCAAGUCGAACGGAAAGGCCCUGCUUUUGUGGGGUGCUCGAGUGGCGAACGGGUGAGUAACACGUGAGUAACCUGCCCUUGACUUUGGGAUAACUUCAGGAAACUGGGGCUAAUACCGGAUAGGAGCUCCUGCUGCAUGGUGGGGGUUGGAAAGUUUCGGCGGUUGGGGAUGGACUCGCGGCUUAUCAGCUUGUUGGUGGGGUAGUGGCUUACCAAGGCGUUGACGGGUAGCCGGCCUGAGAGGGUGACCGGCCACAUUGGGACUGAGAUACGGCCCAGACUCCUACGGGAGGCAGCAGUGGGGAAUAUUGCACAAUGGGCGGAAGCCUGAUGCAGCAACGCCGCGUGCGGGAUGACGGCCUUCGGGUUGUAAACCGCUUACGCCUGUGACGAAGCGUGAGUGACGGUAAUGGGUAAAGAAGCACCGGCUAACUACGUG
rnacentral:rRNA from 1 species